rnacentral:rRNA from 1 species
CCUACGGGUGGCAGCAGUGAGGAAUAUUGGUCAAUGGCCGGAAGGCUGAACCAGCCAUGCCGCGUGAAGGUCAGUGCCCUAUGGGCGUUAAACUUCUUUUGUGCGGGAGCAAUAAUGGUCACGUGUGGCCAGACGAGAGUACCGUACGAAUAAGCAUCGGCUAACUCCGUGCCAGCAGCCGCGUUAAUACGGGGGAUGCAAGCGUUAUCCGGAUUUAUUGGGUUUAAAGGGUGCGUAGGCUGUGAGGUAAGUCAUCGGUGAAAUGCCUCGGCUCAACGGGGUGAAGUGCCAUUGAUAAUGCCGUGCUGGAAUGCGGAGGCCGUGGGAGGAAUGUGUGGUGUAGCGGUGAAAUGCAUAGAUAUCACACAGAACACCGAUUGCGAAGGCAUCUCACGAAUCCGCGAUUGACGCUGAUGCACGAAAGCGUGGGUAUCAAACAGGAUUAGAUACCCCGGUAGUC